rnacentral:rRNA from 1 species
GUUGAACGCUGGCGGCGGGCCUAACACAUGCAAGUCGAGCGGAUAAAGGGAGCUUUCUCCUGGCUUCCGCGUGGGACGGGUGAGUGAUGCCUAGGAAUCUACCUUGUAUUUGGGGCUAACAUCCGGAAGCGAACGCUAAUCCCACAUCCGUCCUGAUGUUGAACCUCGGGGAUCUUUGGACCUCACCCUAUCUGCUGACCCUAGGUCGGAUUAGCUAGUUGGUUGGGUAAAGGCCUACCAAGGCGACGAUCCGUAGCUGGUCUGAGAGGAUGAUCAGUCACACUGGAACUGAGACACGGUCCAGACUCCUACGGGAGGCAGCAGUGGGGAAUAUUGGGCAAUGGGCGAAAGCCUGAUGCAGCCACGCCGCGUGUGUGAAGAAGGUCUUCGGAUUGUAAAGCACUGUAAGUUGGGAGGAAGGGCAGUAAGUUAAUACAUUGCUGUUUUGACGGUACCAAAUGAAUAAGCACCGGCUAACUACGUG